rnacentral:lncRNA from 1 species
GGGUAUAUGACAAAUUAAUGAUUUCAGAAAGUUGAUAUGACAAAUUGCUUAUAUUUUUAGUUGAUAUGAUAAAUUGAUAUUGGGAGCAGCCUCUCCAUAAAUGGGGGUAAGGCUAGCCGACAUUCACCUCUCUCAGACCCUGCGUAAAGCGGGAGCCUUGUGCACUGGGUACGACCUUUUUUUUUUUUAUAUGAUAAAUUGAUAAAAAGUGUAUAAGUUCAUAUGGCAUUUUAAAAAAUUUCCGUAUAAUUAAAUGUUUACUCCUAUUACCACUGGAAAGGGAACCAUAAUUUUAAAAAACUAGAAGGUAAGUUUGUGAAGUACAACUAAGCUUCAGGGAGGGGAAUCUAGUAUCGUCUUUUAUGUUCUGCCAUUAUUAUUAUUUUUACUUAUUUUUAUCAUUUCAAAUAGUGUUUCCAUUAUGGAAAAGUUUGAAAAUUAACAUCCAAUCUAUGAAGUGCAGAUAAAGGUUGAAGAUUUCUUUAGUUUAUUUUUCUCCGACGAUGUGUUCACAGAAUCAUUUCAUAGAAGUUGUGGAGAUAAAGGUAAAUUCCUGGAGCGUGAUGAAUCCCUGUAUUUAGUGCAUUAUUCAGGUUUCUUGAUGGUUCUAGAAUAUUGAGGCAAAAUUCUAUGCUUGUUUUGUUUUUAAGUUUUUAAUCUGUAUGGUUUUAUGCCUUUUCAGAGUUGAAGUGUACUCCAUGGAAACCUCAUGAGUUUGGCCAUUCCCGUGAUGUUUCUUUUCAGCACCCUAUAAAAAUUUAUUUUGGUAUGGCCGUUUUUUAAUUUUAUCAUUUACUGUAUGAAUCUCUCAUGUGUGCCUACAUGCUUUGUUUGAUUCUUUUGUGUUUCAGUCUGUUUUAACACCGGACAUAAUGUUGUCAUAAAGGUGCAAAAUUUGGCAGCUGCCAGGAGCUCCAGAAAUUUCGAGUUCACAGAAACAGGUUGCUGAUAUAGUGUUUAUAAUACCAUUUUUAAAUGUUUCUUGAAUUGGUUUGCAAUUGCAUAGAUUGUGAUUAUUAUUGUGAGGAAGGGAUGACAGAUUAACUUGGUGCCAUGUCAACUUGAGUUCGCACAUUUGAAAACCUUGUUUUGUCUGGGCCAGAUGGUUAUUAUGAACUGUAAAUAAUCCAACAACUUUAUGCAGUCCACACUUUGCUUUCAUCUCAAGAAUGCGCGAGUUAUUUUCGUGACACAUUAACUUUGACUUUUGCCAGCCACUUAGUUAUUGAGACAUCACAAGAAAUCAAUGAUGUGCCUUAUGGAGAUUAUUUCCGUGUUGAGGUAUAAGUUGCAUUUCAUCCAAUUUCAUAAUUCACAUUACAUGUUUUAGAUGAUAUCUUUCUUAAAAAUUUAUUGAUUACCUUGCUAAACCUUUGCCAUUGUAAUAAAAUAG